CGUGGAGAGUCAAAGGUCCGUGUCCUUCACCUCUAACGUGUCCAGAGGAACUUUGAGCGACCUGGAAGCUCACAUUUAGCUGGUGGUUAGCUUUGUUAGCAUUCACUGUGCUAAUGAAUGCAGGAUAGAGCUUAAUAUGCUACAUAAUUAGCGGCGUCCAUACUGAGCAGAACAGGCUAACAAGGUCAGAGCUGGAUUCUUCUGCUGCUCCAAAACUUGUAAACUUAAGUCCAUCCAAAGAAUGUGGAGGUUCCAGUCCCAGGGAAAAGUCCAGCAGCCCGUAUAAACGUGCGGUGUUUGUUCUGCACACAAGAGUUUUCUUACAGCAACAACACAUCAUGCAUGCUGAGACACUCCAGACAUGGUGACAAUCUGCCCAGCAAACCAGUGACCCUGUCGACACUGGAAAUCCAGACACAUAAUUGUAUGGAAAGCCUCAGUGCUUCAUGAGGCUUCACCUGUCCAUCACUAGCUGAAUGAUACCAGUGCAAGGAUAUCGAUACUUUAGUUUCAGUUUCUGUCCUGUAUGUCUGCACUGAUGCGGCUUCUACAAACAGGCGACCUGAUUGGCUGUCAGAGGUCCUCCAUCUGAGGAGCAGCAGCUAAUCCUCCUCUUGUGAUUGGAUGUUGUACCGUCACGUGACUCAGAGGCGCCA
ensembl:lncRNA